rnacentral:rRNA from 1 species
UUGAGAGUUUGAUCCUGGCUCAGGAUGAACGCUAGCGGCAGGCCUAACACAUGCAAGUCGAGGGGCAGCACGGGUAGCAAUACCUGGUGGCGACCGGCGCACGGGUGAGUAACGCGUAUGAAACCUGCCCCCCGCUGGGGGAUAGCCCGUCGAAAGGCGGAUUAAUACCCCAUAGUUCCCCCGGACCACCUGGUCUGGGGGGUAAAGUUUUGGCGGCGGUGGAUGGCCAUGCGUGCCAUUAGCUAGUCGGCGGGGUAACGGCCCACCGAGGCUAUGAUGGCUAGGGGGUCUGAGAGGAUGAUCCCCCACACUGGUACUGAGACACGGACCAGACUCCUACGGGAGGCAGCAGUGAGGAAUAUUGGUCAAUGGGCGGAAGCCUGAACCAGCCAUGCCGCGUGCAGGAAGACGGCCCUACGGGUUGUAAACUGCUUUUGCGCGGGAAGAAUAACCCCCUCGUGAGGGGGGAUGCCGGUACCGCGCGAAUAAGGAUCGGCUAACUCCGUGCCAGCAGCCGCGGUAAUACGGAGGAUCCAAGCGUUAUCCGGAUUUACUGGGUUUAAAGGGUGCGUAGGCUGACACUUAAGUCAGCGGUGAAAUGCAACGGCUCAACCGUUGAACUGCCGUUGAAACUGGGUGCCUUGGGUUCGGUCGAGGCUGGCGGAAUGCGUGGUGUAGCGGUGAAAUGCUUAGAUAUCACGCGGAACCGCCGAUUGCGAAGGCAGCUGGCCAGACCGAUACCGACGCUGAGGCGCGAAAGCGUGGGGAUCAAACAGGAUUAGAUACCCUGGUAGUCCACGCCGUAAACGAUGAUCACUGGAUGCCGGCGAUACACCGUCGGUGUCUGAGCGAAAGCAUUAAGUGAUCCACCUGGGGAGUACGAUCGCAAGGUUGAAACUCAAAGGAAUUGACGGGGGCCCGCACAAGCGGAGGAACAUGUGGUUUAAUUCGAUGAUACGCGAGGAACCUUACCUGGGCUCAAACGCACUUGGAAGCGCGCCGAAAGGCGUGUGCCAGCAAUGGCCGGGUGCGAGGUGCUGCAUGGUUGUCGUCAGCUCGUGCCGUGAGGUGUCGGGUUAAGUCCCAUAACGAGCGCAACCCCUACUGCUAGUUGCCAGCGCGUCAAGGCGGGGACUCUAGCGGAACUGCCGGCGUAAGCCGUGAGGAAGGUGGGGAUGACGUCAAAUCAGCACGGCCCUUAUGUCCAGGGCUACACACGUGUUACAAUGGCCGGUACAGAGGGCAGCCACCCCGCGAGGGGGCGCUAAUCCCGAAAGCCGGUCCCAGUUCGGAUCGGAGUCUGCAACCCGACUCCGUGAAGCUGGAUUCGCUAGUAAUCGCGCAUCAGCUACGGCGCGGUGAAUACGUUCCCGGGCCUUGUACACACCGCCCGUCAAGCCAUGGAAGCUGGGGGUACCUGAAGUCCGUAACCGUGAGGAGCGGCCUAGGGUAAAACCGGUGACUGGGGCUAAGUCGUAACAAGGUAGCCGUA